rnacentral:rRNA from 1 species
CCUACGGGAGGCAGCAGUGAGGAAUAUUGGUCAAUGGCCGUAAGGCUGAACCAGCCAAGUAGCGUGAGGGACGACUGUCCUAUGCAUUGUAAACUUCUUUUAUCCGGGGACAAAGUCGUCCUCGUGUGCCUGUCCGCAGGUACCUCAUGAAUAAGCAUCGGCUAACUCCGUGCCAGCAGCCGCGGUAAUACGGAGGAUGCGGGCGUUAUCCGGAUUUAUUGGGUUUAAAGGGGGCGUAGGCGGGCUGUUAAGUCCGCGGUAAAAUGCUGGGGCUCAACCCCGGCGAGCCGCGGAAACUGGGGGUCUUGAGAGGGCGAAAGGCAGGCGGAAUGCGCAGUGUAGCGGUGAAAUGCUUAGAUAUCGCGCAGAACCCCGAUUGCGAAGGCAGCAUACCGGAGGGGAACUGACGCUGAGGCACGAAAGCGCGGGUAUCGAACAGGAUUAGAUACCCCAGUAGUC